UAUGCAUGCCGUGGCACACACUGGCCGACACAUAAAUAAUAAUAAAUAUAUUUUUUAAAGUAUGGGGGAGGAUGUUCAUUGUGAACAGCCUCCUGGCCAAGGACACAUGUCCCUCUCUGUGGCUUGGCUGCCCAAAGGAGACCUCUUAGGAUGACAACUCAGACUUUCAGUGACAAGACAACUCCCAAUGUCACAGGAAUCUUAGAGCCGAAGGAGAAGAUAAGCAAGGAGCAUUGGUUAGACCAGUCAGUACCAGAGUGCUUGUCCCAGGAAACCGUGGAUGGAGUCAGGAGAGGCAGAGCACAGGCAGGCUGUCAGCAGAGGAUCCGCUGUCUCUCAUCAAUAAUGAAGUGCUCCCAGGCCCUCAACUGAAGCCUCCUGCAUAAUUCACCUCGAAAACCUCAAACAAAGGAGCCCAGGGCCCAGUCUCCUACCCCGUGUCCUUCCCAAAUAUCCAAGGAGAGGGGAGGGGUGGGGCAGGGCGGGGAGGGGAGGGCAGGGGACAUAAAAGCUGAUUGAUGGGC
rnacentral:lncRNA from 1 species